rnacentral:rRNA from 1 species
UGGUUCUCCCCGAAAGCUAUUUAGGUAGCGCCUCGUGAAUUCAUCUCCGGGGGUAGAGCACUGUUUCGGCUAGGGGGCCAUCCCGGCUUACCAACCCGAUGCAAACUGCGAAUACCGGAGAAUGUUAUCACGGGAGACACACGGCGGGUGCUAACGUCCGUCGUGAAGAGGGAAACAACCCAGACCGCCAGCUAAGGUCCCAAAGUCAUGGUUAAGUGGGAAACGAUGUGGGAAGGCCCAGACAGCCAGGAUGUUGGCUUAGAAGCAGCCAUCAUUUAAAGAAAGCGUAAUAGCUCACUGGUCGAGUCGGCCUGCGCGGAAGAUGUAACGGGGCUAAACCAUGCACCGAAGCUGCGGCAGCGAACGUAUCACCCAAGACAACUUUACGGAGUUGACGAUUGACGGAGCGAAGCGACGUCAAAGCGUUCAUUAAAGUCGAGUUGGCUUAGGGAUACGUUCGUUGGGUAGGGGAGCGUUCUGUAAGCCUGUGAAGGUGUGUCGUGAGGCAUGCUGGAGGUAUCAGAAGUGCGAAUGCUGACAUAAGUAACGAUAAAGCGGGUGAAAAGCCCGCUCGCCGGAAGACCAAGGGUUCCUGUCCAACGUUAAUCGGGGCAGGGUGAGUCGACCCCUAAGGCGAGGCCGAAAGGCGUAGUCGAUGGGAAACGGGUUAAUAUUCCCGUACUUGGUGUUACUGCGAAGGGGGGACGGAGAAGGCUAUGUUGGCCGGGCGACGGUUGUCCCGGUUUAAGCGUGUAGGUGUGUGUUCCAGGUAAAUCCGGUUCACUUUAACACUGAGGCGUGAUGACGAGGCACUACGGUGCUGAAGCAACAAAUGCCCUGCUUCCAGGAAAAGCCUCUAAGCAUCAGGUAACAUCAAAUC